UAAGAACAAGAGAGAUUGAACAAGAGAGACCCCCUCAGUUGAACAAUGGAGGAGUUUGGUGACACCAGAGCAAAACAAUCAUGGACUUAGGAUUGAACAACCGCUUGAUAGUUAAUGAAAAUAUUUCUUUAGCACAGCCAUGAUAUGGACAGAUUUCACGUACGGUAUGCAAAACUGUCCCGUCAAAGUAAUGAUGUGCCUGUAUGUUGGAGGUGAAAAGAUUGUCAAAGAAGAAAAAAAACGAUGAUAGCGAAGACUCUUAUGGACUGCGCCAGAGAGGAGAGCAUGAUGUUGCAAAACUUCGGCAGAAGGGAAAAAAGCAGAGAGGAAUGGAGGGAGGGGUGGAAAAGGAGGAAGGUGUGGAGGACGGCAGGAGAAGAGGGAAAGCAAGUCUCUGCAUCUCAAGUGCUUAACAGUGACCUUAGAAUUUGUGUUUCUCCCUCUCUCUCUCUCUCUCUCUCUCUCUCUCGUUCUCUCUGCAUUAAAGUACAAUGCUGCAUUUCUUUAGAGCGUCCCAGGAAGAACUACUAGAGUGCCUGCAGCCCUGCCUACUUCUUGUUCUUUCCUUCUCCCUCCUUUUUUUUCCAACUUUAUGAUACAUUGAUGGAGAAGUAUGACUAAGGCCUGAGAGCAGAGGAGAAGUUGCUGGACUUGUAUGGGAUUCAUGUACAAAUUAUUUGCUAAUUUAGGAGAGAAGGAUUGUGGUUUGAGGGUUCAUAAGUUGAACAAAGAAACUCCUGUAUUUCAUUUCAUUAGGUGACUGGACACCAUGGCACUGUGGCAGGGAGAUCUUCCUAACAUGGCAUGUUUGAUCGCUACACGAGAAUACCAGGGAGUGUUGAAUGGGACCAUAACAGGAUGAAGGGUCAAACAAGUUUAUAUAUCUUCAGGCAGGAGGCUUAAAUUUCUGAAAGCAUUGAUGGUGCCAUCACAGAAGUGCAUGUUUCCUUUGCCAAGGGCACUGAUACGACCCCAAACCAUGACGGACCCUGACCUACAGUAUGGACUUGUUGCUGGUCUGGAUGAUCUUUUUCUUGUUUUGUCUGGAAGCCCAAAGCGUCUAUUUCUUCCAAAAAUACCUGAAAUACUGAUUUAUCUGACCACAGUACACACUGCUUCUGGACACUGUUAACAUAGGGAUUUCUUGGGCAGGGUACAGUUUUAACUGGCAUUUGUGAAUGUAACUACAUAUUAUAGUACUUGACAAAAGUUUGCCAAAGUAGUUCUGAGCUCAUGUGGUUAUCACUCAUAGAUAAAUGAUGAUGCUUGAUGCAGUGCUGCCUGAGGGAUUGGAGAUCACUGUUGUUCAGCUUAGUCUUCGACCUUGUCUUUUAUGCACUGAAAUUCCUCCAGAUUGUUUGAAUUUUUAAAUUAUGUUAUGCACUGUUGAAGGUGAAAUAUCCAAACGUCUUCCUAUCUUUCUUUAAGGAACAAAGAAAUUACAUCAUACUUUAAAUAUUUGUAAAAUUUUCUCACGUAUUUGUUGACAAACUGGUGAUUAUCAGCCCAUCUUUGCUUAUCAGAAAAGACUAGUCCUUUCUUGGAUGCUGCUUUUGUACCAAAUCCUAGUUACAAUCCCCUGUUUACAUCACCUGUUUCAAAUCACAUAAUUAUUUAACCAAUUUAGCUGAUUUCUAGCCCUAAAUUGCUCCUGUCCCAACUUUUUUUGGAAUAUGUUGCAGGUCUGAGUGACCGGAAAGAAUGUAUAUUUACAAGGAAAAUUAAGUUUAUCAGACAAAAUAUAAAAAUUUUUGCAUUCAUAUUGUCUGCAAUAAAAUACAAGUCAAAGUAAAUUUAGAAAUCACUAAAUUUUUUUUUGCAUUUUCCAUACUGUCCCAACCUUUCUGAUUUGGUGUUGUAAAGUAUAUGUAGAAAUGUUACGACUCUCUUACUCUCUUAGGCAAAAACAAAACAAAACAAAACAUAACUGUACUGAAUACAGUAUGUUGUUUAGUUUCUUCCCUGAAGAUAAAUUCUGUGCUUAUAUUUGAUAAGAUACUUAAACUUUAUUGAAUUUACUUUGUCAAGCAUUUUUAUUCUGAUUGAAACCAAUAAGCAUUCCAAGCCAUAUUAAACAAUACUGAGGAAAUUACUAGCCAUAUAUGAUCACACAACGUCUUGUAAAAGGUCAUGAAGUUAGCUGAAAACAAAAACACUGACAUACAAUAACCACCACAAAAGACACUAUGGCCCAAUACCAAUUCCAAUUUAUACCCCUACGCCUUUCCCUUGGCACUUGAAAUUAAGUGUCUAUCAGAAUUUCAAACAUUUUGCUGCGGUUAUUCUAACUAUUGUUAGAAAUAUUUUGAGAUUUCUUUUAACAUUUGUUCGAAUAUCACAAACCUUAGCACUUUGACACCAUUAUAAAUGUAAUAAAUUGGAUACAUGUUUGUAGUAAAUCCCUAUUUUUUUUAGCUGUGGGGAUCCCUUUGUUGUUUGCAGCUGAUUUAUUCAGGAAAAUGUCUAAUACCCUUUUGUUUGUAGUGUGGUCCGGAAAAAUCUUUGUUUGAAAGGGAAGGGCUAAGGGGUAGAAUUGGGAUUAGGCCUACAGAGCCCAACCAGAUAAAAAAGAAAAGCUAUAAACAGACUGAUAGCAACCAGAUAAUUCAGGACAGAAAUCAUAAACCAGAUGGACAGACUGAUGAAACAAAUAUGGAAAGAGAACUUGAAAGGUCUACUGUCAACCACAGUCACAUGACCACCAAAACACACCAGCUAGCAAUCGG